rnacentral:rRNA from 1 species
UGAGAGUUUGAUCCUGGCUCAGAUUGAACGCUGGCGGCAGGCUUAACACAUGCAAGUCGAGCGGAGAUGAGGUGCUUGCACCUUAUCUUAGCGGCGGACGGGUGAGUAAUGCUUAGGAAUCUGCCUAUUAGUGGGGGACAACAUUCCGAAAGGGAUGCUAAUACCGCAUACGUCCUACGGGAGAAAGCAGGGGAUCUUCGGACCUUGCGCUAAUAGAUGAGCCUAAGUCGGAUUAGCUAGUUGGUGGGGUAAAGGCCUACCAAGGCGACGAUCUGUAGCGGGUCUGAGAGGAUGAUCCGCCACACUGGGACUGAGACACGGCCCAGACUCCUACGGGAGGCAGCAGUGGGGAAUAUUGGACAAUGGGGGGAACACUGAUCCAGCCA